rnacentral:rRNA from 1 species
CUAAUACAUGCAAGUCGAGCGAACAGACGAGGAGCUUGCUCCUCUGACGUUAGCGGCGGACGGGUGAGUAACACGUGGAUAACCUACCUAUAAGACUGGGAUAACUUCGGGAAACCGGAGCUAAUACCGGAUAAUAUAUUGAACCGCAUGGUUCAAUAGUGAAAGACGGUUUUGCUGUCACUUAUAGAUGGAUCCGCGCCGCAUUAGCUAGUUGGUAAGGUAACGGCUUACCAAGGCAACGAUGCGUAGCCGACCUGAGAGGGUGAUCGGCCACACUGGAACUGAGACACGGUCCAGACUCCUACGGGAGGCAGCAGUAGGGAAUCUUCCGCAAUGGGCGAAAGCUUGACGGAGCAACGCCGCGUGAGUGAUGAAGGUCUUCGGAUCGUAAAACUCUGUUAUUAGGGAAGAACAAAUGUGUAAGUAACUAUGCACGUCUUGACGGUACCUAAUCAGAAAGCCACGGCUAACUACGUGCCAGCAGCCGCGGUAAUACGUAGGUGGCAAGCGUUAUCCGGAAUUAUUGGGCGUAAAGCGCGCGUAGGCGGUUUUUUAAGUCUGAUGUGAAAGCCCACGGCUCAACCGUGGAGGGUCAUUGGAAACUGGAAAACUUGAGUGCAGAAGAGGAAAGUGGAAUUCCAUGUGUAGCGGUGAAAUGCGCAGAGAUAUGGAGGAACACCAGUGGCGAAGGCGACUUUCUGGUCUGUAACUGACGCUGAUGUGCGAAAGCGUG